UACGGGGGGGGCAAGCGUUGUUCGGAAUUACUGGGCGUAAAGGGCUCGUAGGCGGCCAACUAAGUCAGACGUGAAAUCCCUCGGCUUAACCGGGGAACUGCAUCUGAUACUGGAUGGCUUGAGUUCGGGAGAGGGAUGCGGAAUUCCAGGUGUAGCGGUGAAAUGCGUAGAGAUGUGGAGGAACACCGAUGGCGAAGGCAGCCUCCUGGGCCAACACUGACGCUCAUGCACGAAAGCGUGGGGAGCAAACAGG
rnacentral:rRNA from 1 species